rnacentral:sRNA from 1 species
UGCAUCUGCAGCUCAUGAGGAUGAGAACCUCCGGGGGCAGGGAGGUUCGACUCGAGCGAAGCGAGAGAACGUUGCGCCAGCAACGGCCCG